UGCGAUGAGUUGACUCAAUCAGAUAACUUUUAGUUAUUUCGCUGCGGCGACUAGUGAUUGAACAAAGGCAGGGCAUAUGUACUUCGAGUACAACUACAAGAUGUAGAUGUUUGGACCCCUCUGUUUUGUGGAAUUC
rnacentral:ncRNA from 1 species